CCAAUAGCGUAUAUUAAAGUUGUUGCAGUUAAAAAGCUCGUAGUUGAAUUUCGAGACCGGUCUACUGGUCGUGCUUUUGUACGUACUGGUUUUAUUGGUUUCUCCUUUCUGACGAACUAUAAUGCCAUUAAUUUGGUGUUAUAGGGAAUCAGGACUGUUACUUUGAAAAAAUUAGAGUGUUUAAAGCAGGCUCACGCUUGAAUACAUUAGCAUGGAAUAACGGAAUAGGACGUUUGAUUUUAUUUUGUUGGUUUCUAGGAUCGACGUAAUGAUUAAUAGGGAUAGUUGGGGGCAUUAGUAUUCAAUUGUCAGAGGUGAAAUUCUUGGAUUUAUUGAAGACUAACUACUGCGAAAGCAUUUGCCAAGGAUGUUUUCAUUAAUCAAGAACGAAAGUUAGGGGAUCGAAGACGAUCAGAUACCGUCGUAGUCUUAACCAUAAACUAUGCCGACUAGGGAUCGGAUGAUGUUAAUUUUUUAAUGACUCAUUCGGCGCCUUACG
rnacentral:rRNA from 2 species